GACGAACGCUGGCGGCGUGCUUAACACAUGCAAGUCGAACGGAAAGGCCCUGCUUGCAGGGUACUCGAGUGGCGAACGGGUGAGUAACACGUGGGUGAUCUGCCCUGCACUUCGGGAUAAGCCUGGGAAACUGGGUCUAAUACCGGAUAGGAGCCAUUUUUAGUGUGAUGGUUGGAAAGUUUUUUUCGGUGUAGGAUGAGCUCGCGGCCUAUCAGCUUGUUGGGGGGGUAAUGGCCUACCAAGGCGGCGACGGGUAGCCGGCCUGAGAGGGUGGACGGCCACAUUGGGACUGAGAUACGGCCCAGACUCCUACGGGAGGCAGCAGUGGGGAAUAUUGAACAAUGGGCGCAAGCCUGAUGCAGCGACGCCGCGUGGGGGAUGACGGCCUUCGGGUUGUAAACUCCUUUCGCUAGGGACGAAGCUUUUUGUGACGGUACCUAGAGAAGAAGCACCGGCUAACUACGUG
rnacentral:rRNA from 1 species